UGGGGAAUAUUGCGCAAUGGGGGAAACCCUGACGCAGCGACGCCGCGUGUGGGAUGAAGGUCUUCGGAUUGUAAACCACUGUCGCGAGGGACGAAGCUCUGACGGUACCUCGAAAGGAAGCACCGGCUAACUCUGUGCCAGCAGCCGCGGUAAUACAGAGGGUGCGAGCGUUGUCCGGAAUCACUGGGCGUAAAGGGCGCGUAGGCGGCCCGGUAAGUAGGGGGUGAAAUCUCAUGGCUCAACUGUGAGGCUGCCUUCUAGACUGCCAGGCUUGAGCACAGUAGAGGCGAGUGGAAUUCCCGGUGUAGCGGUGGAAUGCGUAGAGAUCGGGAAGAACAUCGGUGGCGAAGGUGGCUCGCUGGGCUGUUGCUGACGCUGAGGCGCGAAAGCGUGGGGAGCAAGCAGGAUUAGAUACCCAAGUAGUCCCUGAGCGGGCUGGCAAGGCGCAU
rnacentral:rRNA from 1 species